AACGAACGCUGGCGGCAGGCUUAACACAUGCAAGUCGAACGAGCUGGCGGCUUCGGUCCUCGUUGCUCGUUGCCCACGGGUGAGUAACUCGUGCGUAUAUGCCCUUUCUUACGGAAUAACCUAGGUACACUUUGGCUAAUACCGUAUCCGCUCUUCUGGGGAAAGUUUUAUUUCUAUAGUAUUAGCCCGUGUCUGAUUAGGUAGUUGGUGAGGUCAUGGCUCACCAAGGCGUUGAUCAGUAACUGGUCUGAGAGACUGAUCAGCCACACCGGGACUGAGACGCGGCCCAGACUCCUACGGAAAGCAGCAGUGGGGGAUAGUGGAAAACGGGGGCAGCGCUGAAGCAGCCAGGACGGGAGAGUGAAGAAGGAAGUCGGGAAGAAAAGCUCUUUCAACGGGGACGGUGAUGACGGUACCCGUAUAAGAAGCCACGGCAAACUUCGUG
rnacentral:rRNA from 1 species